UGCGUAGAUGGUUUCUUAAGUCAGAGGUGAAAGGCUACGGCUCAACCGUAGUAAGCCUUUGAAACUGGGAAACUUGAGUGCAGGAGAGGAGAGUGGAAUUCCUAGUGUAGCGGUGAAAUGCGUAGAUAUUAGGAGGAACACUAGUUGCGAAGGCGGCUCUCUGGACUGUAACUGACACUGAGGCACGAAAGCGUGGGGAGCAAACA
rnacentral:rRNA from 1 species